CCCCCAUUUUUUUUUUUUUUUAACAUUUUAAAAUCUGAUUUGGUCCGAUAAUCUGUAUAAGCAUUCGAAAAUGGCAUUGAUUGAUAUGGCUUCCUCACAUUGUUGCUGAUAAUUGAGCAACUUAAAUUGCUUAAUAUGUGUUCCUCAAAUUAAUUUCAACUUCUGCCUUUCUAUAGUCACUGAUUCCAGUGGGUGGCGUUGCUCUUGGCAAGGGCUCUCUCUAAAAUUGUAAAGGUGAGCAAUUCCUUUCCAUCAGCUACCAUGCUUAGCAUUCUUGUAAUAUUUGUGUUUUCAGAUUUUGUCUUCUAUCAAAGGUGAUUUUUUUACUUGCCUUUUUGGGACUCGAAAUAAAGUGUUGGAAUACAGUUCCCCAGGAAUAUCUCACAUGUCCGCUCAGCGUGGAUUCUCUGAAUGAAGAGUAAUGGAUAAUCUCCCUGGAGACGAGGAUGGGAAGAUAUACCAGCAACCCCACAAAACCCUAGAGUCUAAUGUCAUGCAACCCACUGCAUGAUGGAGAGGUGACAUCUGAUCCUUACCAUGUCACGCUGUGGGAGUUGGGGUAUGGGGAGCUAACAAACAAAACUGAUGUGUCUGCUUCUUUUUUUUUGGCUGUGAGUAAUAAAUUGUUUCUGACUCAAA